GACGAACGCUGGCGGCGUGCUUAACACAUGCAAGUCGAACGGAAAGGCCCUGCUUUUGUGGGGUGCUCGAGUGGCGAACGGGUGAGUAACACGUGAGUAACCUGCCCUUGACUUUGGGAUAACUUCAGGAAACUGGGGCUAAUACCGGAUAGGAGCUCCUGCUGCAUGGUGGGGGUUGGAAAGUUUCGGCGGUUGGGGAUGGACUCGCGGCUUAUCAGCUUGUUGGUGGGGUAGUGGCUUACCAAGGCUUUGACGGGUAGCCGGCCCGAGAGGGUGACCGGCCACAUUGGGACUGAGAUACGGCCCAGACUCCUACGGGAGGCAGCAGUGGGGAAUAUUGCACAAUGCGCGGAAGCCUGAUGCAGCAACGCCGCGUGCGGGAUGACGGCCUUCGGGUUGUAAACCGCUUUCGCCUGUGACGAAGCGUGAGUGACGGUAAUGGGUAAAGAAGCACCGGCUAACUACGUG
rnacentral:rRNA from 1 species